rnacentral:rRNA from 1 species
GCUCAGGACGAACGCUGGCGGCGUGCCUAACACAUGCAAGUCGAACGGAGAAUUUUAUUUCGGUAGAAUUCUUAGUGGCGAACGGGUGAGUAACGCGUAGGCAACCUACCCUUUAGACGGGGACAACAUUCCGAAAGGAGUGCUAAUACCGGAUGUGAUCAUUGUGCCGCAUGGCAGGAUGAAGAAAGAUGGCCUCUACAAGUAAGCUAUCGCUAAAGGAUGGGCCUGCGUCUGAUUAGCUAGUUGGUAGUGUAACGGACUACCAAGGCGAUGAUCAGUAGCCGGUCUGAGAGGAUGAACGGCCACAUUGGGACUGAGACACGGCCCAAACUCCUACGGGAGGCAGCAGUA